GCAGGCGGCCGCGAAUUCACUAGUGAUUACUCCUACGGGAGGCAGCAGUGGGGAAUAUUGGACAAUGGGGGGAACCCUGAUCCAGCCAUGCCGCGUGUGUGAAGAAGGCCUUAUGGUUGUAAAGCACUUUAAGCGAGGAGGAGGCUACUGAGACUAAUACUCUUGGAUAGUGGACGUUACUCGCAGAAUAAGCACCGGCUAACUCUGUGCCAGCAGCCGCGGUAAUACAGAGGGUGCGAGCGUUAAUCGGAUUUACUGGGCGUAAAGCGUGCGUAGGCGGCUUUUUAAGUCGGAUGUGAAAUCCCCGAGCUUAACUUGGGAAUUGCAUUCGAUACUGGGAAGCUAGAGUAUGGGAGAGGAUGGUAGAAUUCCAGGUGUAGCGGUGAAAUGCGUAGAGAUCUGGAGGAAUACCGAUGGCGAAGGCAGCCAUCUGGCCUAAUACUGACGCUGAGGUACGAAAGCAUGGGGAGCAAACAGGAAUAGAUACCCUGGUAGUCCAUGCCGUAAACGAUGUCUACUAGCCGUUGGGGCCUUUGAGGUUUUAGUGGCGCAGCUAACGCGAUAAGUAGACCGCCUGGGGAGUACGGUCGCAAGACUAAAACUCAAAUGAAUUGACGGGGGCCCCCACAAGCGGUGGAGCAUGUGGA
rnacentral:rRNA from 1 species